rnacentral:rRNA from 1 species
AGAUAAAAUUUAAUUAAUUAAAAAUAAUAAAAAGAAUUUUAAAAUAAAGUAUAUUUAUAUAAAUUAAUGGGGGUUAAAGUAUAUAAAUAGAAAUAAUUUAAAAAUUUAUAGGGAAGUAUGUAUUGUAAAAGAAUGUUGAAAUAAUAUGAAAAAUAAUUAAUUAAAAAGUAAAUUUAAUUUGUUGUAUCUUGUGUAUCAGAGUUUAUUAAAAAUAAAUUUUUUGAAAAAUUUUCUCGAAUUUAAAAGAGAUAAUUAAUUAAAGUUUUUAUUGUUGAAUAAAUAUAAAAAAUAAUUAAUUUGAAAUGAAAUGUUAAUCGUUUUUAAAUAUAUCUAGUUUUUUUAGAAAUAAAUUAAAUUUAAAAUUUUUUUUAUAAAUUUUAAUAUUAAUAUUAAAAUUUAAAUUAAAAAUUUAAUAUUUUAAGGGAUAAUCUUUAAAUUAAAUUUUUAUAAUAUAUUUAUAAUUUUUUCUUAUAAAUUUAAAUUUUUUAAGAUUUAAAUUGUUUAUAAAUUAUAUUUUUUUAUAAAAAAAUUUAAAUAUUAAAAAAUUUUUAAUUAAAAUUUAAUUUUUUAUAAAAAAAUAAUUUUAAUUGAAAUAAAAUUAGUUAUAAUGAUAAAAUUAGUAUAAUUUAUUUAUAUAUAUAUAGAAUUAAUUAAUUAAAAAUUAAAUUAAAGGAAUUCGGCAAAAUAAUAUAUUCACCUGUUUAUCAAAAACAUGUCUUUUUGAAAAUAAUUUAAAGUCGAAUCUGCCCACUGAUAGAUAUUGAAGGGCUGCAGUAUAUUGACUGUACAAAGGUAGCAUAAUCAUUAGUCUUUUAAUUGAAGACUUGUAUGAAUGAUUUGAUGAAAUAUAAACUGUCUCUAUUUUAUAAUUAGAAAUUAAUUUUUUAGUAAAAAAGCUAAAAUUUAUUUAAAAGACGAGAAGACCCUAUAGAGUUUUAUAAUUUUUUUAGUUAUUUAAAUGUAUUUUUAUAUAAUAUAUAUAUAUAUAUAAUGAGUAAAUAAUAAUUAAAAAAUUAUUUUAUUGGGGUGAUAAAAAAAUAAAUUAAACUUUUUUUAAAAUUAAACAUUGAUUAAUGAAUAAAUGAUCCAUUGUUAAUGAUUAAAAGAAAAAAUUACCUUAGGGAUAACAGCGUAAUUUUUUUUUUUAGUUCUUAUAAGAAGAAGAGUUUGCGACCUCGAUGUUGGAUUAAGAUAAAAAUUAGAUGCAGAAGUUUAAAUUUUUGAUCUGUUCGAUCAUUAAAAUCUUACAUGAUCUGAGUUCAAACCGGUGUGAGCCAGGUUGGUUUCUAUCUUUAGAUAAUUAUGAUAUUUUAGUACGAAAGGAUUAAAUAUAAUAAAUAAUUUAAAAAUAAAUUUUGAAUAUUAUUAAUUUAAUAUAUAUAUAU